rnacentral:rRNA from 1 species
UACGGGGGGGGCAAGCGUUGUUCGGAAUUACUGGGCGUAAAGGGCUCGUAGGUGGCCAACUAAGUCAGACGUGAAAUCCCCAGGCUCAACUUGGGAACUGCGUCUGAUACUGGAUGGCUUGAAUUCGGGAGAGGGAUGCAGAAUUCCAGGUGUAGCGGUGAAAUGCGUAGAUAUCUGGAGGAACACCGGUGGCGAAGGCGGCAUCCUGGACCGAUACUGACGCUGAGGAGCGAAAGCGUGGGUAGCGAACAGG